UACGUAGGGGGCUAGCGUUGUUCGGAAUCACUGGGCGUAAAGCGCACGUAGGCGGCUUUUUAAGUCAGGGGUGAAAUCCCGAGGCUCAACCUCGGAACUGCCUUUGAUACUGGAGAUCUUGAGUCCGGAAGAGGUAAGUGGAACUGCGAGUGUAGAGGUGAAAUUCGUAGAUAUUCGCAAGAACACCAGCGGCGAAGGCGGCUCACUGGUCCGGAACUGACGCUGAGGUGCGAAAGCGUGGGGAGCAAACAGG
rnacentral:rRNA from 1 species